AAAUAAAUUCUCAAAUGCUUCAGGUGAACAAAAGCCUAUAUACUUCAACUCAAUCCUAACCUAACAAAUGUUUGGAGUUCUCUCGAACAGAGCCUUCGUAACCCUGAAAAUGCGGAAUCGUUAGAGCAUGGGUCACGUUUAGAGUUGACGACGCCAUCACCAGUUCCACCACAACCAGUCUUCUUCAUAACGAUCUAAACUCUUGUAGUCGCAACCACUGAACGAAUCUCCGAACCCUAGCUUGUACUUUUUCCCUUUUCAACUUAGGUUGUGUGAAUUAUCUAUCAUCUGUCAACUGUGUUUGCAUCAUACCUGUUCAAGAUUCUUAAUCGGAGAUUCAAACUCGAGCAUACUGCGGCACUCAUUUUCUCCUGAAUCUGCGAGGUGGUGGGGUCAUUGGGGUGGUUGGGUGUGCUAGUUCUGAUCAGCUUGUUCUGGUUUCUUUUUUAUGAGCCUAUGGCUUGCAGCUCUGGGUUCUUUAUAUGCAGGGAUGACGUUGUUGGGCGCAAGUGGUGUUAGCAUUGUUCUCUAGCAGUAUCAAGGUUGUAUUGGAAAAAUGUCAAAGGAGUUUUGUCGGAUGGUGUUGGUUGGAGUGGCUGCAUCUUAUGCUUUAACUCCAUUAAGUGCAAUAGAAUAGUUCAAUAGAGUUGCACUAAUAUCAUUCUGCAUAAUAGUUUUUUAUAUGUUAGCUUUGGAAUAUUUAUUUAUUUGUAUUGGUUCUUGAGGGUUUUGCAGUGGGUGUAUGUUUCAGGGACAUUGUCUCUAUUAGAACUUUUAACUAGUAGUUUUUAACAGUGAGGAGGGGUUUCUCAAGUGUUCUUCUUCUUUGUGAUGAGCUAUCUCUAGUUGGAACAUUAAAUUACGCGUGCAUUACGAACAUUACGAGACUGGGGUCCGGUUAGAUUUCUAUACUAUAGAGCGGUAUAGCGCCGCCACACUGAAUCUGUCCACAAGGCUGUUAAAUGACAACUGCCACUGUGUCAUAUGAUCUCUUUUGAUUUUUCCACCUUGAACUUCUGCAAGCUGAAGCAGUGAGAAACUUUUUAUACUCUCUCAACAAUGGACUGCAACUGCAUCAUAUGAUCUCUUUUGAUUUCUCCACCUUGACUUCUACAAGCUGCAGCAAGUGAGGUUGCAAGGGAACUGAGGUCGUAGCACUUGCGUAGUUUUUUUGUUGUCCUGUGAACCUUGUCUCCUGAUGGCAUCAAUGUAGCCGUCAGCUAGUGUCUAUCUCCAAUCUUGCCUUAGUCCUUCAAUUCAUUUGCUUUGGGAACUUGUGUGGUUUAAUACUUUUGUCAACAUUAAUGAUUGUUGGGGCACUUAUUGUGUGGUUUAAUACUUUUUUUGUGUACGUAGAUUAUGGCGAAACUUCCAGCUAUGCUUUCUUUGAGGCACUUAUUGAUCUUAUCAUUGGCUGUGAACGUUAGUUUGAUUCUGAGAAUGGUGUAUGAAGGUGAACAAGAAGGAAGCAACAAGAACAUGGAAGGGUAUAAUCGGAUUAUUCAAAAAUCACGUUGGUUAUACCUUCAACCUUGAUCAGUAGAGAGGAUGGGAAGAGACUGUUUCGUUAUCCCUUCCCUAAAGAGUCAUUUGCUUUUGAUGAAAUAAACUUUGGGAUAUUACAUGACUGCGUUAACAAUCGACGGCCAAUAGAGAUGUCAAGUUUUAGCCUGCAAUAUAUUUUUGGAUGAGUAUUUAAAAUUGCUACAAUAUAUUUUUGGUAAAUUUGUAUUUUUUUUCAUUUAAAAAGUUGGAUAACUUUACUCUAGUGAGUUGUUUUAAGCAUAAUUAUAUAUGUGAAAUUUAUUUCCCAUUUCA